UGGAACUAGAACUCAUUAGAGGACCAGAACACAGACCGCAGGCACAGGGGACGACACACCAAACCUCCUGAAGAAGAACUGAGAGCUGACUGAACAUCUUCUGCACAACCUAGGAGAGACGGACCACAGCGAAAACAGCAGGAGAGAUGGACGCAAGUUGACAGCACAGAGAGGGCAGAGCUCCGGGCACCAGAGCCGGCUUGUUGCCUCAGGGGGACCUGGCACCCUAGCCC